rnacentral:lncRNA from 1 species
CCACUCGUGAUUCCUCGUCAGGGAAUUCAUCAAACUGCAGAUUGAGGGCAUAUUGCAUCUCUGUCCGAAAGCCAUGAUAGUCUUUGGGCUCCCCCCCAAACUUCUGCACCAAUCCUGGUACCUUUCUGGCGAGCUGGGUGGCUUUCCCCUUUUUGUCUGCAUCCUGAGCCCUCCUCUCCUCAAGCCUCGCCGUCUGCAGCGCUAGCUGGACCUCCAACACCCGGUACCUUUCUUCCAGGCUUGGACCCGCUCCAGCUCCUGCUUCUCCGGUUCCGGCUGGGUUGCUCAUGAUGCCUUCUCCUGCACAAGCUGCUUUCAAAGACUGUCGGAAUGCUGUGAUGGGAUGAUGAGCUGCUUGUGCGUAAAAUAGUAUCCCCUCAGAGUUUGUUCAAGUCCACAAACCUCUGUCUGUGACGGGCCCCUCAGACAUGGCUCCUCUAGUCACUAGCAGAUUCCGACAGUGGUUGCUUUCGGAAUCGCUUCCAACAUAAAAGCUCCUUAACGGAAACACGUCUUCUGGACUCUCUGCGUGACAGUUUCCGGCGAGGAGUGGGUGUUCCUACAGGAGGUCCUGAAACCUCCCCACUGUUUUCGCUGGAAGUGUCUCUGAGCCAUCCCUCCAGCUCACUUUCCCUCAGCUCAGCUCCUCUCCCCCUACUGGUUCCCUCUUCAGCUGCUGAGUCUCUCCCAACCUGUGUGAGCCCUUUCACCUCCCUUCCUUCCGAUGGCAGUUCCCUGACA